AGAACACUCUUGAUUGUUGCCCAUACCUAGAAUAAGCUUGCUCCCCACCUCUACUUUCAGCUUCCCUGGUUUUUAUUUAACACUCAAUUUCAAUCCUAGCUUCUGCAAGAAGCCCUUUCCUGAUAGCCAUCCCACAUAGACACAUGAAACUGAACUGUGUGACUGCUUGUCCUCUCUGAAGAACUGUUUUAAUGGAUCGUAUGAUCAUCUAUUUAGAACUGGAAGUCACUAUGUCCAAGCUCUUCUCCCUCCCUCCAUUAUUCAGAGUUGAAAUAUCAGGAAUCCUAUUUCCCUAGUCUGUCCUCAGAUCCAAGAUGAGUUCUGGGGAGCAUAUGGCAUAGUAGAGAAGAGUGUUGGACUUGGAACCAGGAAGACUUGAAUCUGAAUCCAAUCUUGUGAGUGUAUUUGCAUUGUCCUCUCCUACUACCUUUCACAACUACCUCUGGACACUGCAACUGCCUCUGGAAGGCUUGUAGCUACUGCUGCCAUUUAGCCCUGACCAUUAAGAAGAGACUUCCACUGGGAUAUCUGGAUCAUCUAAACUUACAAGGUCACCUGCACACUACCCUAUUGAAAUAUUCAUUAACCCACAAUAAGGAAAGAACAGAAAGGAGGAGAGGAAGCCAUUGCUCAAAGGCACCAUAACUUUCCCACCAGAAGGGAAACUGAUAAGCCACCCUUCCCCCACCUGACUCCUAGAUAUAAUCUGGAGUAGCCCGACCUGAAUCAAAGCUGCUAAGGAGAGAGAGAGCAACAGAAGGAGAGGCGAACUCCUGAGUAGAGCUCAGCAACCUCUGAGUCAUCUGUGCUUCUGGCUCCACAGCCAAUUUGAAGAUGCUUCAUCAUCCCACAGAACCAGCUUCUCAGUCACUCAAGACCAGAAACAGGCUGCCCUCAAGUUUCCAUUUGGUUUCUGAAACCAGGCAAGGAAUAUCUGCACAUGCUUUGUAUAACCCAAUAGGAAGUGAAAAUCUGAAAAUGCUCCAUGCUGGUUACCCAAAAAAUAGUUGAUGUUUGAAAGACUACAUUUGUAUAAUACAUGAAGAAAAGUUUUUUUCAAUCUCUUCAUUUUGAAACCUUAGAACAUGUUUGUGACAUUUGCCAACAUUAUAAAUUUGGGCUAGCAAGACACACCCUCAUAUUAUUUAUUUUCUCAUAGACACAUGGCUUAUCGUUAAGGUAAAUUGCCAUUAAACCCCACACAGCCUACUAGUUCAAAUAGAUGAAUGACUCAAAAUUAUGAUUAAUUUCCACUUACAUGGUUUGUUGUUUGAUUCAUUUGAAAAAUAAAACUUCUUAUGAAAGCCAAA